AAACUGCUUGCCGAACUAUCAGACUAGAGCAUGGGAGAGGACAGUGGAAUUCCCGGUGUAGCGGUGGAAUGCGUAAAUAUCGGGAGGAACACCAGUGGCGCAGGCUGCUGUCUGGAACAUUGCUGACGCUGAGGUGCGAAAGCCAGGCGAGCAAACGGGAUUAGAUACCCCGGUAGUCCUGGCCGUAAACGAUGCUCACUAGGUGUUACCGGCAUUAACCCCGGUAGUGCUGUUCUGCUAACGCGUUAAGUGAGCCGCCUGGGGAGUACGGCCGCAAGGCUGAAACUCAAAGGAAUUGACGGGGGCCCGCACAAGCGGUGGAGCAUGUGGGUCAAUUGGAUGCUACGCCAAGAACCUUACCAGGGCUUGACAUGUUGGGGCCCGCGUGAGAGAUCA
rnacentral:rRNA from 1 species